rnacentral:lncRNA from 1 species
UAAAUAACAGCCUCCUUUUAUUUAGCUAGUUUCCUCGGCAGGUUUGGCCGCUGGCUGGUCUCUGCCCCUCUAUGGACCCGGGAUGCCUCUCGCACCUCGGUGCCUCCUGCAGCCCCCACAUCACCCCAUGCCCUGCGCGCUGCACAGAGCGUGCCCGCACGAGCCACAGCCUCUGCCCUUCGUGGCCUCGCUUGACCUGGCUGUCCCGGGCACCCGGAGCCACCAAGGCUGCCCCCAGCCCAGUCCGGAGCUGGCCUGUCUCCCAGCCCAGUUUCCUUCCCUGAGCUUUAGGACGGGUCCCGCCCGGGGCUUGGAAGCCCACAACCCUGCGGCAGCAAAAGGCAAAGGGCGGGAGGAGAGCUACAAAGGAGGCCGGUGGCCGCAGCCAGAGUCAGCCCCCAGCCGUGGGUAACCUUGGAGGCGCCCUCGAGUGAGUGUGAGCGCGGAGAUCGUGGCUAGCCGGCGCACCCGGAGGGGCGGGAGGAGGGAGCUGGGAGUUGGGAAAGGGGAACCGCUCCCCAAGAACCCCAGGAGUUGUGGGCGACCACAGCAGCCAGCUCCAGGUGCUGGCCCCGGGGCAGCCCUCCCGCUGGGUAAAGUUGGCCCCGGGGCUGCGGCUGGAGGGCAGUGCGCGAGCUGAGGAGAGCAGGCCGGUGAGUUCCUGGCUGGCCGCGGAGGUGAGCUGGCGGCCGGAGCCGCGGGCGCGCUGCACCACUCGGUGCCCUACUCAGAGUAGCUCUCCCUUCCUCCCCUGGCGAUGACAGCUGAGGACAGCCGGGCUUCCCAGCCAGGCGUCCAACUGCUAAGAAGACAAAUUCUUCUCUGGCUUUUUACCGUCUUGGACUGUUCACAAAACUGCCCCAAGGUUUUGCUUUUCCUCCGUAGUAUACUAGACAUCCGGAACCGAAAAUACACCUUCUUCAUUCAAAAAGACCCCAGCCUGAGCGGUGACCUUCAGGGCUGGGGUGUGCAGAACACCUAGGAUUAUGGGGGUUUUUUGUUUGUUUGUUUGGUUGGUUGGUUUUUUUGUUUUGUUUUUUGUGGGUUUUCUCUUUUUUCUUUCUUCUUUCUUUUUCUUUUUUUCAAUCUUCAGCGGUGCCUCAAAAGAACCCCCCUUUUCUCCCAACCCCCAGAUCUGUAUAUAGACCUGGUAAAUUAAGAUUCCAGGGAAAUAUUUUGCCAUCUGUGCAGAGACACUGUGUGGACUUUAGGUGUUAGGAUGUGGUUUUGGAAUUUUCUGUGCUGUCUUUAACUCUCAGUAGACAUUAAAAUAACAGCUUGGUCUCGGCCAGCAAGUGAGCAAAGGUUAUCCCAGCUACCACAGCACCUGCAGAAGCACAAGUGGAACUCACACAUUUUGCUUCCCGUGUUCUAAAAUGGAUUCUGAGCCAUCCAGAGAAAUCCGCACAGAGGGGAACCUGAGAACAGAGGUGUACAUAUUAAAAAUUACACACUAUGAUUUUUUUCAUUGUAGGUGAGCUCCUUUUCACUGAUGAUCCAGAGAGGAUGUGAGUUAAAAUCUUAGAACCGAAAGCACCGAACAGCUCCUACUUCUGCCUGAUUCUCUUGAAAGACCUUGUAGCAUAAUCUAAGGUCAGCAAAUGAAGUUUCUGGCUACCAACAUAAAAGAACUUUAAGAAUCAGUUCCCUGUAGGGAAAAAUAACAUCUCAAAAUAAAAGGAUGGAAAUAGCACACAUUUUUUUAAGCAGAAAAUAUUAUACAGAGGAUCAAGGUAAUUUUUAAAAAUCAUUUCUAUCCCAAAGUAUAUUUUUACCAUUAUUUUGAAAUUAAAUAUAUAUAAUUUAAACAAGAGAUAUCUGUUUAUAAUGAGGAUUUUCUACUUAGCAACAGAAUAUACUGAAGAAAAAUAAGAUCAAAGCAUUGGACAUAAAAAACAACCUCCAGAAUGACAAUGAUAUUAAAUCAGCUAACAGAAAUGUCACCUCUCACAAAUUCACAAAAUUCAUUUACUGAUUUGAAGAAAAGGAUUUCCAAGAAAAACUAUUUAAAUCUCCUUCCUUUAGAUCAAAAGAUUACUGGAAAGCAACAUGAAUAUCCGGAAAAAAAAAAAUCCAGUGGUCUCUGUGUGGGUCUCUGACAGCAAUUUUUUAAAGAUUUCUGAGAUUGUUUCAAUGUAAUUGUGCAUAUAUUAGCAUUUUGAAAAGGUUCUCCAUAAAACCUUGGAUUAUACAGAAUUGUGUCAUCAUUUGCAGACUAAUAAAUUAUGUACACAUAAGAGACAUAUAUGGUGUAGGAUAAAUAUCUUUUCUUUAUUAAUCUUAACGUAUUCACGUAUUCAUUUGGUUUACAUUUUAAUGAGACAAAAGAAACACAUAAGUAAGUUAUGAAUAUUUAUUUUGCAUCUGCAUUUCCUUAUUUAAUAUUCAUAACUCCUUCAAGGCAAGGGUUGGUUUGGGCCUUCCUUUUUAAAAAAAAUCCCAUUCUACCAAUCAGGAAACUCAGAAUUGAUAGAAAGUGUGCACUUGUCUGUAGACACAAGCUGGUAACUUAAAAAUAACACAAGGAUUCAAACUUGUGUCUUUUUUUUCCCUGCCAGAUGGAAAUAUUUUCAUCAAAUUGGCACAAAUCAGUCAGGUGGCUAAUAUCAUGUAUCAUGAAUCCAUCAACAUGGUCACCUAAUAGGCUUAUGCUGCAGGGACUCUAGGCUUUCUGCAUUUGAAAACUGGGAGAAACAACCCCUCAUUUUUUAAGUUCUUGUAAAGAGCAGCAACAUGUGUGCAAAGACCCUGCCCCUCAGGAGCCUUUAAUAAACCACAGCUAUUACUAAUAAACCACAAGCAACACAAACACACACAUUUUUUUUGUUUGUUUGUAUGCUUUUGUUUUGAGAAUUACUUUGUAGGUCAGGUUGGCCUGAACUCAUGACAAUCCUCUUGCCUCAGUUCCCAAGGUUACAGGGUUAUAGGUAUGAGCCAGCAUUGCCAACUAGGAAAUCCAUUCUUGACCUCAAGGGACUUAAAAGCUAUUUGGUUAAAUAAAGUUUCUAUAUGGUAUGCAAACUGUAGCUGAAAACUAAGUGAGACACAAGUAAGUGCCUGGUGAUGUGUACUCUAGAUUGUACUGACAAAGGGGCCUUACUAGGGGAAAUAUUGGAAACCCUGUUUUAAAAAAGAAAGGGGG